rnacentral:rRNA from 1 species
AGAGUUUGAUCCUGGCUCAGGACGAACGCUGGCGGCGCGCCUAACACAUGCAAGUCGAACGAGAGAUGAAGAGCUUGCUCUUCAAAUCGAGUGGCGAACGGGUGAGUAACGCGUGAGGAACCUGCCUCAAAGAGGGGGACAACAGUUGGAAACGACUGCUAAUACCGCAUAAGCCCACGGCUCGGCAUCGAGCAGAGGGAAAAGGAGCAAUCCGCUUUGAGAUGGCCUCGCGUCCGAUUAGCUAGUUGGUGAGGUAACGGCCCACCAAGGCGACGAUCGGUAGCCGGACUGAGAGGUUGAACGGCCACAUUGGGACUGAGACACGGCCCAGACUCCUACGGGAGGCAGCAGUGGGGAAUAUUGCACAAUGGGGGAAACCCUGAUGCAGCGACGCCGCGUGGAGGAAGAAGGUCUUCGGAUUGUAAACUCCUGUUGUUGAGGAAGAUAAUGACGGUACUCAACAAGGAAGUGACGGCUAACUACGUGCCAGCAGCCGCGGUAAAACGUAGGUCACAAGCGUUGUCCGGAAUUACUGGGUGUAAAGGGAGCGCAGGCGGGAGAACAAGUUGGAAGUGAAAUCCAUGGGCUCAACCCAUGAACUGCUUUCAAAACUGUUUUUCUUGAGUAGUGCAGAGGUAGGCGGAAUUCCCGGUGUAGCGGUGGAAUGCGUAGAUAUCGGGAGGAACACCAGUGGCGAAGGCGGCCUACUGGGCACCAACUGACGCUGAGGCUCGAAAGUGUGGGUAGCAAACAGGAUUAGAUACCCUGGUAGUCCACACCGUAAACGAUGAUUACUAGGUGUUGGAGGAUUGACCCCUUCAGUGCCGCAGUUAACACAAUAAGUAAUCCACCUGGGGAGUACGACCGCAAGGUUGAAACUCAAAGGAAUUGACGGGGGCCCGCACAAGCAGUGGAGUAUGUGGUUUAAUUCGACGCAACGCGAAGAACCUUACCAAGUCUUGACAU